rnacentral:rRNA from 1 species
AUGGGACUGGUCGAGAAGCCCCCUGUAGCCGCCGCCGCCUCCACCACGGAACCAGAGAUUGACAUUCCCGGCGACGACGCCAGCGGCCAUGAAAGUAUCAUCCCAACGACCGAUGAGGGGAACUGGGACGACCUCCCGAACGACCUCGUACGCAAGGUGGCCGAGAUCUUGCUGCGCAGCGACGUGACGGACUUCGUCCGCCUGAGAACCGUCAAGCCGUGGAGGGAGGCCGUCACGGCCCCGAAGCUCAUGGGCAUGAAUCCGCGCUUCUUCCCACGGCACUGGAAGAUGCUCGUCCAAGCCCAAGGUGAGCAAACCAGGUUCGUGAACGUCCUCACCGGCGCCUUCAUCGGCGUCAAGAUCCCUCGCCUGUACGGGCAGGUCCUUGCCUGCGCCGAGGGCUGCCUGCUCUUCGCCUCACCCUCAGGCCGGGGCAUGCAGAAGCUGCGCCUGUGCAACCCGGUGACCAGAGCCGUCGCCGGCCUACCCAAUCUCCACACAACACUUAUUUCACAAGGCCUCAAGGCCGUAGGAAUGAUCUACGACGUCGACGGCGACGGCGAAGCUGCCACGCCCACCGUGGUGCUCCUUGUGGCAGCGUGGUCCGCUGACGUGGUCCUCUACGCCAAGCCCGGCGACUCCAUGUGGCAGUGGCAAUUCUUCUUCGCCCAAGACGAGGGGGACGGCACCGAGCUUACGAUGUUGGACAGCGAUGGCAGCCUCUCCCUGGGCGGCAGCUUCUACGUCCCUACUCGCUCAGGGGACGUCCUCAGGUUGGAGCUCCACCCGCAGCCUCACUUCGUGUACGCGGCCACGCAGCAGCAGGCUACUGGUCACUUACACUUAAACCUGAGGUCCUACCUGGUGCCAUCCACAUACGCAGGGAUGCUGCUGGUGGUUCGUAGGUUCGAGAGCCAUGCCGGCAACCUAGCCGUGUGCAAUGCAGUGUUCCAGGUGAACCUCACAGAGGGCACCCUUACACAACUGCAGGACCACAAGGACAUCAGGAAUCGGAGCAUUUUUCUCCGGUGGAUGACGCCAGGAACGCCCUGA